rnacentral:lncRNA from 1 species
UGUGUUCGCCUGCUUCAUUGUUCUCUCCAUUUGUACUAACUGAACAUAAACUGUAUAUCAUGCUUGUUGAUAUCAGAACUGAAACUAAUUGUAAUGUUUGCAAUCAACACAGUUGAUAUCAAUGGAACAAUUACAUUGGCUAGUACACUCACCUGGGAUUCUACCAAAACUAAUACGGUAAAUCUCACGCUCAUCACAAAUGUCUACAUUCUGAAAGAUGUUAUAAAAAGAGUGUAAAUGAUUGAAUUCUCUUUCUUUUCAAAGCUUGAAACUACCUUAAAAAAACUGAAUGGCUUUGAGGGGGUGAAUGUAACCGCUCAGAGGGAAGGAAACACAAUUGUUGAGUUUGAGGCAGCAGUCCACGUCAGAUUAAACACUUCUCAACUUCAAAAACUAGUGUAUGACCUGGAGGGGAGUCUUACUGGAAAACUUAAGGUCGACACUUCAGGAAUGGUCAACAUAGAGUCCCCCAAUUCAACAGUGUGCUAUGAGUCCACUCCAACUCUGAAAUGCAAAUUUGAGGAGGAGACGGACAGCGCCGUCUGGAGCAUGAGCACCCAGCACCAGCGCUUUCAGCUCAACACUGGCAUUGUUGUAGAACUGAUCAACAACUGUGCGAAUGAGACAUACAAGUCCUGCACUGGAGUCAUACUCAAGAAAGUGACAGAAAUCUGGUCAGGUAAAUUCAAAAAGUCAAACUGAGAUUAAGUCAUAUUUCCACAGCCCAUCAUUAAACUCUCGCCAAAAUGCAACCUCAGCUUUUUUUGUGAAUGUACCCGAGUCAGACAUUUGUUUAAAAGCAUAAUUACAACCAAACAACCACUUUCAAGAUUUACUGUAUUUUCGUUUUCGGGUCAGACUCAUUUUCAGUGGGAGUGCUACGGGAACUUUUACGAUAGCAUCAAAAUCUCUCUGUUUAAAACAGUAAGAAGUCUCGACACAACAUGAAACUUUGCUGGUAGCAUCACCAGGGUCUCUACACAUGAACACGAGCAUUGAGAACAUUGUUUGUGUACACAGAGUUUACUAAAAAGAAAGUUUUUGAACAACUCACGUUAGCAGUAGCUUGUUCCGCUCGCCGCCGUCCUGCCAGUGGAGAAGUGUCGAUCUCACACUAGCCCUUUUUAGGUAGAAAAGGCGGCACAU